rnacentral:misc_RNA from 1 species
UCCCCGUUACCGGGGCAGUCUGAAUAGAAAAAUCCAACUAUUCAUAAGGGUUGCGCUCGUUGAUGGACUUAACCAAACAUCUCACGACACGAGCUGACGACGGCCAUGCAUCACCUGUCACUUGGUUCAAUAAAGCACUCACUGCUUUCACAGUAAUUCCAAGGAUGUCAAACCCUGGUAAGGUUCUUCGGUUAUCAUCGAAUUAAAGAACAUGCUCCACCACUUGUGCGGAGCCCCGUCAAUUCCUUUAUGUUUUAGUCUUGCGACCGUACUCCACAGGCGGGAUGCUUAACGCGUUAGCUUCGCUACGGAAGGGGUCGAUACCCCCCACAGCUAGCAUCCAUCGUUUACGGCGUGGACUAC